rnacentral:lncRNA from 9 species
UUGAAUCAGAGCUGCAGCUGCCAGUCUACACCACAGCCGCUGUGAUGCGGGAUCUGAGCCACAUCUGGAACCUACUAGCUGAACCCACCGAGCAAGGCACAGGGAUCGAACCCACAUCCUCAGGGACACGAGGUGGGUUUGUUACCGCUGAGCUGCAACAGGAACUCCCAGGAAAGACUUAUUUAAACAGAGUUCAGAGGUGUUUUUCCAUUGUGGAGUAUCAUUAAUGUGUGACAGAAAGUGCUGAGUGAGUGAAGGAAGGUGCCACGGUUGGCAGCGCUAUUAAUAGUUAUUUGGGAAACGGAGACCUUGCAGGAGGGAGACUCAGGUUCAAUGUGAGGACCUGACGUGAGAACCGAGAAUGCCUGGAGCUUUCUGGGAGCACUGUUCUGGGGACAGAAGUUACUGAAUUUUGUUCCCCUUUUAUAUUUGGCCAAACGUCAGGUUAACAUGACCCUAAUUAAUAGAACACAAAACAAACAACAUUAUUUGUUAAAUUGUGUCACAUGUUUUUGGAUAAGUUUUCAUUCAGUUACUAUUUUCAUGAAAUUUAUUCUACGCUUUCACAUAAGAAAAAGGAGUUUGUUUUCAUUUUCAUUUAUACUUUUCCCAGACACGUUACCUGAGAUAAUAAUUUUUUGCAUCAUAAUGAAAUACUGGAAUAGAAAUAUAGGCCUGAAAAAAAAUGCCUAUUGUCUUAGCUUUGAAAUUUGGAAACCCAAAGAAUAAAUAUUAAGAAAAGAAUUUUUAUUUUUUUAAAUGAAACCAUAUCUCCAGAAGGGUUAAAAAAGUACACCCUAGGCUUAUUUAGCAGACUUCACUUAUCUACAUCAUGAUUUAUUAAUGAAUGACCAAUAAUCAGAAUUGAGUACAUAUACACAAUUGCCUAUCCACAAUUCUGAAGUUCACAGUGGUCUGAGAACCCACAGAGUUUCUUGCUUGUUUGUGUUUGUGGCCAAUUCCCUUGGCAACAAAAUCUUCCCUGAACUGACGCAAGGCUGUUAAUCCUCUUAAUUUAUUUCGCCAAGCGUGACCAGCCUUGUAUUUUACUGGAGAAAUAUUAAUGUGUUUGAUUUGGGAGUGUUGCCUCAGCCUCUCCUGGAAGUGUUAUAAAAUUUUUUUAGUGCGCUUCAUUAUCUUGGAAAGAAUGUGAAAAGCCUGCAUUUAGGAAUACAUGCAGUCUUGAGGUUGGCACAUAGAGGACUGAGCACCUGUAUGGUAGAAUCGUAAAUAUAUGUUCAAGUUGGAAGGUAGCGAUGAGAUAAUACAUUCCAACCUCCUCGUUUUAUGAAUGAGGACUCUGAGUUCAGAGACGGGGCAGGGACCUGCCAAAGGUCUUACUACUCGGUUAGUAGCGGAGAUAGAAAUAGCCUCCACUCCCAAGGUGCUCCUACUCACAGCCCUUUAAUGAUCUCUUCCCCCAGUGGCUGGGAUUUCUAAACAAACGAAAUAGACAGGCCUGUGUCCUCUGCUCAGGACUCACUGCUGCUGUGCACAGGGAGAGGCAGGACUGAGCACAAACUCACUUUGGAAAGAAAUACUGCCCCUCUUCUCUUCCCCAAAUGAUCCCUAUAAGACUAAGUCUGCUAAUCAGCACCCAGACGACACCAUCACAGUCAUCCUGAAUGUUAGGCACCAUUCCCCAUGCAAAAAAGGCGAUACAAAAUAAUAAUCAAUGCAGUGGUCUAAAGAUUUCGAGUCAGCAGGCUAACGUUGAAGCUCUACCCUGCCGCCUUGUUCCCCUGUGACCUUUGGAAAGUCAUGGAAGCGUUUGCGACCUGAGUUUUCUUAUCUCUAACACAAGGUUAUUGAUAGCAAACCUACAUAUUUUAUUGGGUGGCUGUAUCGGAAGAGAUAGUGUUUUUGAAACUAUUUUCAGAAUAGCGAAGCAUUAAAUAAAUUAAAUUAAAGCAUUAAAUAAAUAGCAAUAGUAUUGCUGUUUUUUUUUUUUUUUUGAUGGCCACACCCACAGCACGUGGAGGUUCCCUGGCCAAGGACUGAAUCAGAUCUCUGUGACCUACUCCACAGCUGAGGCAACACCAGAUCCUUUAACCCACUGUGCUGGGCUGGGGACCGAACCCACGUCUCUGCAGUGACUUGAGCUGCUGCAGUCAUAUUCUUUUUUUUUUUUUUUUUUUUUUUGGUCUUUUUGUCUUUUUAGGGCCGCACCCAUGGCCUUUGAAGGUUCCCAGGCUAGGGGUCAAAUCAGAGCUGCAGCUGCCAGCCUACACCACAGCCACAGCAACUUGAGAUCCGAGCCGCGUCUGUGCCACAGCUCAUGGCCACACUGGAUCCUUAACCUACUGAGCAAGGCCAGGGAUAGAACACGCAACCUCAUGGUUCCUAGUCAGAUUCAUUUCCGCUGUGCCAUGACAGCAACUCCUGUCAUGACAUUUUAUAAUUAUGCUUUGUUGUCCUCUUCCUCUUCUUGCAUCUUGCCCUCCUGCCCCUCAAGAUAUCUUUGCCGAUGCUCUGGGAGUAAAUACCUUCCUGGAGACUGAGGAACAAGUCUGUUGUUUUCCUGAUGCCUUCCCACCCUUGUUUUUGGAUGUAGCUAGACUCAAGACCAGGUCAUUUUCAGAGUGGAAAUCAGGAUGUAAGCAAAAGCAUGUGAGGUCCUCAUCUGAAGUCUAGUAGAGGAGCUUGGAUCUUUGGAAUCUUUGAGGACUUCUGGGACCUCUUUGUGGAAAGCAAGAGCAAGCUGGCCAAACUGGGAACACCUGCCAUUUGUGUUGAGGGAGCCUCACUUACCACAUGUGUGGAAUAUUUAAUAGUACAUGAACUUGUGUUUACAUAAAAAGAUUUACCAUGGUUUAUUUAUUCGGCCCCUUAAAAGAGUUUUUUUUUUUUUCCUCUGAAAUCAUUCCUAAUAGUGUAAUAAAGACUGUCCCAUUGUAAUUAAAACAGAUUUUGAUUUACAAACCAAUAUUUUAAAGGUACAUCUCUCUGACCCGUCAAGUGAUGUAUACAAAUGACAAGGAAAGGACAAAUGGGCAAUUCCUGCUUUAAGGGAAGAAUCGUAUGAGUGUAUAUUAGAAAAGAGAAGGAAAAUGAUUUCUUUCAAAAACUGAUUGGUACAGAUCAGUUCAUAGAACCAAAUUCACCUUUUAAGCGCUUAUAUAUAGCCUAGAGAGUUCCUGGGUGGCUCAGUGGGUUAAGGAUCUGGCAUUGUCACUAUAGCAGCUGGGGUCAUUGUUGUGGCAUGGGUUUGAUCCCUGGCUCAGGAACUUGUGCAUGCCACAGGGAAGGCCAUAAACAAACAAACAAACAAACAAACAGACAAACACAUAAAUACAGCAUACAAGUCAGUGCACUGGUUUAUAUGGGUGCAAUGAAAUGAUUUAUUUUUAUUUUCUUUAGUAUUUAAACUCAUUACACAGAAAUGUUUAAAAGAAAUGUCCUUCACAAAUCCCCAGUGUCACUCAAUGGAUUAAAUGGUGAUGAUACAAUUAAAUUAUAUUAUUGGCUGAUGU